rnacentral:rRNA from 1 species
GAUGAACGCUAGCGGGAGGCCUAACACAUGCAAGCCGAGCGGUAGAGUCUCUUCGGAGACUUGAGAGCGGCGCACGGGUGCGGAGCACGUGUGCAACCUGCCUUUAUCUGGGGGAUAGCCUUUCGAAGGGAAGAUUAAUACCCCAUAAUAUACUGGAUGGCAUCAUCUGGUAUUGAAAACUCCGGUGGAUAGAGAUGGGCACGCGCAAGAUUAGAUAGUUGGUGAGGUAACGGCUCACCAAGUCAGCGAUCUUUAGGGGGCCUGAGAGGGUGAUCCCCCACACUGGUACUGAGACACGGACCAGACUCCUACGGGAGGCAGCAGUGAGGAAUAUUGGACAAUGGGUGAGAGCCUGAUCCAGCCAUCCCGCGUGAAGGACGACGGCCCUAUGGGUUGUAAACUUCUUUUGGAUAGGGAUAAACCUAGAUACGUGUAUCUAGCUGAAGGUACUAUACGAAUAAGCACCGGCUAACUCCGUG